GGGGAGCUGGCGCAACGGUAGCGCGUCAGAUUCCAGUGCUCUGCUCACUCAGCAGUUGUCCUCGGGGAUUCCUGAAGGUUAUCGGUUCAAAUCCGGUGUUCCUCA
rfam:Fusarium poae strain 2516 chromosome FPOA_3 Chr3, whole genome shotgun sequence.